rnacentral:rRNA from 1 species
UACGUAGGGUGCAAGCGUUAAUCGGAAUUACUGGGCGUAAAGCGUGCGCAGGCGGUUGUGCAAGACAGAUGUGAAAUCCCCGGGCUCAACCUGGGAAUUGCAUUUGUGACUGCACGGCUAGAGUGUGUCAGAGGGGGGUAGAAUUCCAUGUGUAGCAGUGAAAUGCGUAGAGAUGUGGAGGAAUACCGAUGGCGAAGGCAGCCCCCUGGGAUAACACUGACGCUCAUGCACGAAAGCGUGGGGAGCAAACAGG